UCGAACGGUAACAUAGCUAGCUUGCUAGCUGAUGACGAGUGGCGGACGGGUGAGUAACGCGUAGGAAUCUACCUAUUAGUGGGGGACAACCUGGUGAAAACCAGGCUAAUACCGCAUACGCCCUACGGGGGAAAGCAGGGGAUCUUCGGACCUUGCGCUAUUAGAUGAGCCUGCGUUAGAUUAGCUUGUUGGUGAGGUAAUGGCUCACCAAGGCGACGAUCUAUAGCUGGUCUGAGAGGAUGAUCAGCCACACUGGGACUGAGACACGGCCCAGACUCCUACGGGAGGCAGCAGUGGGGAAUAUUGCGCAAUGGGCGAAAGCCUGACGCAGCCAUACCGCGUGUGUGAAGAAGGGUUUAGGCUCGUAAAGCACUUUAAGUAGGGAGGAAGGCCUGUAAAUUAAUACUUUGCAGGAUUGACGUUACCUACAGAAUAAGCACCGGCUAACUCCGUGCCAGCAGCCGCGGUAAUACGGAGGGUGCAAGCGUUAAUCGGAAUUACUGGGCGUAAAGCGCGCGUAGGCGGUUUGUUAAGCGAGAUGUGAAAGCCCAGGGCUCAACCUUGGAACUGCAUUUCGAACUGGCAGGCUAGAGUACAAGAGAGGGUGGUAGAAUUUCCUGUGUAGCGGUGAAAUGCGUAGAUAUAGGAAGGAAUACCAGUGGCGAAGGCGGCCACCUGGCUUGAUACUGACGCUGAGGUGCGAAAGCGUGGGGAGCGAACAGGAUUAGAUACCCUGGUAGUCCACGCCGUAANCGAUGUCAACUAGCCGUUGGAGUCCUUGAGG
rnacentral:rRNA from 1 species